GGAACAAUGAGCUUGUCCAAUGCAUAGAAUUUGAAAGGUGAGCUUUAUGAGGGGGAUAACAACAACUUGGUCGAUCGCAUGACACACGCCUGAAGGAACCAGUCGUCACGCCUGGGCUGGUGAACCAUGAACUAAAUCAAGGAAUUUAUCUCCCUGGCAACUGAAAUAAAGGGAUUGAAUCAUCGAAUGUGAAUGGUGGGUCAAGGAAGCCAAGAAGGAGCAAACACAAGGGUGAGGCAAAGGGCCACUGGCCACACUCAUAGAGAGAAGAGAGAAGGGGGAGGGAGAGAGAAACUAAAGGUUGGAGACUUGGAGGCGUGACAGGAGGAAACACUGAAAGACAA
rnacentral:misc_RNA from 1 species